GAUGAACGCUGACAGAAUGCUUAACACAUGCAAGUCAACUUGAAUUUGGGUUUUUAACUUAGGUUUGGGUGGCGGACGGGUGAGUAACGCGUAAAGAACUUGCCUCACAGCUAGGGACAACAUUUGGAAACGAAUGCUAAUACCUAAUAUUAUGAUAAUAGGGCAUCCUAUAAUUAUGAAAGCUAUAAGCGCUGUGAGAGAGCUUUGCGUCCCAUUAGCUAGUUGGAGAGGUAACGGCUCACCAAGGCGAUGAUGGGUAGCCGGCCUGAGAGGGUGAUCGGCCACAAGGGGACGGAGACACGGCCCGUACUCCUACGGGAGGCAGCAGUGGGGAAUAUUGGACAAUGGACCGAGAGUCUGAUCCAGCAAUUCUGUGUGCACGAUGAAGUUUUUCGGAAUGUAAAGUGCUUUCAGUUGGGAAGAAACAAAUGACGGUACCAACAGAAGAAGUGACGGCUAAAUACGUG
rnacentral:rRNA from 1 species